rnacentral:tRNA from 1 species
UCUAUUAUGGCAGAUAAGUGCAAUGGAUUUAAGCUCCAUACAUAAAGAAAAUUUUCUUUUUUUAGAA